GAUGAAGAACGUAGCGAAAUGCGAUAAGUAAUGUGAAUUGCAGAAUUCAGUGAAUCAUCGAAUCUUUGAACGCACCUUGCGCCCUUUGGCCAUUCCGAAGGGCAUGCCUGUUUGAGUAUCAUGAACACCUCAACUCUCAUGGCUCGCCAUGAUGAGCUUGGAUUUGGGGGUCUUGCUGGCCUGUGGUCGGCUCCUCUCAAAUGGAUCAGCUUGCCAGGGUUUGGUGGCAUCACAGGUGUGAUAACUAUCUGCGCUUGUGGUUUUCCAUCAGAUAACCUUCAGUGAUGGAGGUUCGCUGGAGCUCAUAAACGUCUCCCCUAAGCGGGGACAGCCCUUUGAAUGUUUGAUCUCAAAUCAGGUAGGACUACCCGCUGAACUUAAGCAUAUCAAUAAGCGGAGGA
rnacentral:misc_RNA from 1 species